AUUGAACGCUGGCGGCAUGCUUUACACAUGCAAGUCGAACGGUAACAGGCCUUCGGGUGCUGACGAGUGGCGAACGGGUGGGUAAUGCAUCGGAACGUGCCCAGAGGUGGGGGAUAACGCAGCGAAAGCUGUGCUAAUACCGCAUGUGAUCUGAGGAUGAAAGCGGGGGACCAAGCAGCAAUGUUUGGCCUCGCGCCUCUGGAGCGGCCGAUGUCAGAUUAGGUAGUUGGUGGGGUAAAGGCCUACCAAGCCGACGAUCUGUAGCUGGUCUGAGAGGACGACCAGCCACACUGGGACUGAGACACGGCCCAGACUCCUACGGGAGGCAGCAGUGGGGAAUUUUGGACAAUGGGCGCAAGCCUGAUCCAGCAAUGCCGCGUGCGGGAAGAAGGCCUUCGGGUUGUAAACCGCUUUUGUACGGAACGAAAAGGCUCUGGCUAAUACCUGGGGCUAAUGACGGUACCGUAAGAAUAAGCACCGGCUAACUACGUG
rnacentral:rRNA from 1 species